AGUGAACGCUGGCGGUAGGCCUAACACAUGCAAGUCGAACGGCAGCACAGUAAGAGCUUGCUCUUACGGGUGGCGAGUGGCGGACGGGCGAGGAAUACAUCGGAAUCUACUUUUUCGUGGGGGAUAACGUAGGGAAACUUACGCUAAUACCGCAUACGACCUACGGGUGAAAGCAGGGGAUCUUCGGACCUUGCGCGAUUGAAUGAGCCGAUGUCGGAUUAGCUAGUUGGCGGGGUAAAGGCCCACCAAGGCGACGAUCCGUAGCUGGUCUGAGAGGAUGAUCAGCCACACUGGAACUGAGACACGGUCCAGACUCCUACGGGAGGCAGCAGUGGGGAAUAUUGGACAAAGGGCGCAAGCCUGAUCCAGCCAUACCGCGUGGGUGAAGAAGGCCUUCGGGUUGUAAAGCCCUUUUGUUGGGGAAGAAAAGCAGCAGGUUAAUACCCCGCUGUUCUGACGGUACCCAAAGAAUAAGCACCGGCUAACUUCGUG
rnacentral:rRNA from 1 species